CUUGUAAGAAUUGGUCAUUGUUUCAUGGGGACGACUGGCUCCUUUGGGUGGGAUCUGAUGGCAUCUCAUGGAGUUGAGUUGUCUGCCAACGCUAACUGGGCAGCUCUGACAGGAGGUGCGUGGCCCAGGAGGAGCCAUCAGGCCAGUUCUUUGGGAUACUGCUGUGUCUCCAGCUCUGCAGUUUGCUCUGCAUCACUCAGCGGCAGACGGAGAGGCAGACACGAGCCCCUUGUGAGCCCUCCUCCUUACCGUCAUAUCACAAUGUUCUGAAAUAAGGAGACAAAUGGCUGAGGUCCCCUCAGUGUAGAUGUGAUUGAGUUCUAUCUACCAGAAGCAUAUGCCUCCUGGAAGCCUGGUUCUAACACCUCCCACAAAAUCCUUCAGGCACUUUUUUCUGUUCCAAGGUUUGCUUAUGGGGGACCCAGUGAAGUGCUUCAGAGCCCUAGAGAUUUGCUGAGUCAUAUGAGGGGUCAGCAAACUUUUCCUGUGAAGGGUCAGAUAAUAAACAUUGUAAGCUUUGUAGACUGUAUAAAGUCUCUGUUUCUUCUC
rnacentral:lncRNA from 1 species